AUACAUGCAAGUCGAGCGGAUCUUCUCCUUCGGGGGAAGGUUAGCAGCGGACGGGUGAGUAACACGUAGGCAACCUGCCCACAAGACCGGGAUAACAUUCGGAAACGAAUGCUAAGACCGGAUACGCAACUUGGUCGCAUGACUGGGUUGGGAAACACGGUGCAAGCUGUGGCUUGUGGAUGGGCCUGCGGCGCAUUAGCUAGUUGGUGAGGUAACGGCCCACCAAGGCGACGGUGCGUAGCCGGCCUGAGAGGGUGAACGGCCACACUGGGACUGAGACACGGCCCAGACUCCUACGGGAGGCAGCAGUAGGGAAUCUUCCACAAUGGGCGAAAGCCUGAUGGAGCAACGCCGCGUGAGUGAGGAAGGCUUUCGGGUCGUAAAGCUCUGUUGCCAGGGAAGAAUAAGGGCCAUUUAACUGAUGGUCCGAUGACGGUACCUGAGAAGAAAGCCCCGGCUAACUACGUGCCAGCAGCCGCGGUAAUACGUAGGGGGCAAGCG
rnacentral:rRNA from 1 species